UGGACCCCAGGUGAGGCCCCGGGCGUGGCCCAGGUGUGUCCAGGUGUGCCCAGGUGUGCUCAGGUGUUCCCCAGGUGUGCCCAGGUGUGUCCCCAGGUGUGUCCAGGUGUGCUCAGGUGUGUCCAGGUGUGCCCAGGUGUCCCCAGGUGUCCCCAGGUGUCCCCAGGUGUAUCCCAGGUGUGUCCAGGUGUGCCCAGGUGUGCCCAGGUGUGUCCAGGUGUGCCCAGAUGUGUCCCCAGGUGUGUCCAGGUGUGUCCAGGUGUCCCCAGGUGUGUCCAGGUGUAUCUCAGGUGUCCCCAGGUGUCCCCAGGUGUCCCCAGGUGUGUCCCCAGGUGUGCUCAGGUGUGUCCCCAGGUGUCCCCAGGUGUGUCCAGGUGUAUCCAGGUGCACUCAGGUGUGUCCUCAGGUGUGCCCAGGUGCACUCAGGUGUGUCCC
ensembl:lncRNA